AGUGAACGCUGGCGGUAGGCCUAACACAUGCAAGUCGAACGGCAGCACAGUAAGAGCUUGCUCUUACGGGUGGCGAGUGGCGGACGGGUGAGGAAUACAUCGGAAUCUACUUUUUCGUGGGGGAUAACGUAGGGAAACUUACGCUAAUACCGCAUACGACCUACGGGUGAAAGCAGGGGAUCUUCGGACCUUGCGCGAUUGAAUGAGCCGAUGUCGGAUUAGCUAGUUGGCGGGGUAAAGGCCCACCAAGGCGACGAUCCGUAGCUGGUCUGAGAGGAUGAUCAGCCACACUGGAACUGAGACACGGUCCAGACUCCUAAGGGAGGCAGCAGUUGGGAAUAUUGGACCAUGGGCGCAAGCCUGAUCCAGCCAUACCGCGUGGGUGAAGAAGGCCUUCGGGUUGUAAAGCCCUUUUGUUGGGAAAGAAAAGCAGCAGGUUAAUACCCCGCUGUUCUGACGGUACCCAAAGAAUAAGCACCGGCUAACUUCGUG
rnacentral:rRNA from 1 species